ACACAUUGGCAACGCAGCGUUUACCCGUGCUGGUUCAGAUGGUUCAGCGCCUUCAGCACCUGGUAGCCAAUUCGGGCCAGUUUUCGCGUUUCUGUUGUAUUAUGAAUGUUAAAAUUCACGAAAAGUGGCACUGUCACAAAAAACCAAAGUUAAAUUCACGAAAUUGCCACAAAAGUGACUCAGAUAGAUUCCACCUGUGAAAUUCAUGAAAUUGCUAUAUAAUAGCAGGGCGCUUUUAUCAACAAAACCACAUCAUUCGAGCAACCGAGUUAUGUUUUACAGCGAGUGAGCACGGUCCAGGAACGCUAGCCAGCUCUUGUUCUGGUAUAGGUGGCAAGAACUAUUGGUCGAUACGACCGAUGGAGAGGUCCGAGGACGGAAACUCGAGUCGGAAGGAAACAUCGAGUGUUUCCUGCGUGUUUCUUCACCGCCCGCCCUUCAUCUCUGCUGCACUGAGCGGAUCAUGAACGACGGCAUCACGCACGACUUUGAUGUUGGCCAGCAGUCGCCAACCGUGGUUACGUUCGCAAUAGAAGACGCGCCCUCCGCCGUGUUGAUGCAUCGUGCGUGCUGAACCGGUGAAUUACUAAUUGUGUCCGCUCCGAGCAACAUAGUUUACAUUGGCGAGAGCAGGUCGUUCUUUGCCGUGUGCGAUGCGUUGCGACACCUGUUCGAGGGGCCCGUGAUCCAGGAGCUGCGGGUGCUGUCGUAAAAAACUGAAUCGGGAGAAGCAUACGAGGAAGAUGAGGCGAGCAUUAAUGUGGAAAACUUGCGUGUAAAGGCAUGCCGCGGUACAAGGUGUUGCGGAAGUAUCGCAAGGGUGGGAAGCCACCAGCAACAGUUGCGGCACCAACAACGGGCAGUCGAUCGUCGGGAUCGUCCCGCGAAUCUCAGAGACGCGUUUGAGUGAGGUCAUGAAGGAGACCGGAGCCGGUUCUAAAUCCAUCUCACCGCUGCUGAAGGGUAAGAAAACGCUCGUUGAUGAAGAGGAUGGGGAUGUUGAUAGUGAGGCAUGUUGUCGCCGGUUCGGCUGAUUUAGCUCCUGCCGCGAGCGGUAAUGCAGCCAUCGAUUCAACGGUCGGCAGCUUGUUGCUUGGCAGUCGAAGGGCGUGAGAUGACGCAGUGACUCAUUUCAUUCUAUUUUGGCUUUCGGAAAAAUCUGCCCGAUUCGAGAUUGAUCCGGCUCAGCUGAUGCUGCUGAUAAUAAUAAUUUCAAUGAUAACAACUAAUAA